GGGGUUGUGGCUCAGUGGUAGAGUGCUUGCCUCACAUGUAUGAGACACUGGGUUCAAUCCUCAACACCA
rnacentral:tRNA from 1 species